GAACCUUUCAAGUAAUUGGAUUGUUGCAGACGAGAGGUUUAUGUGGUUGUGUUUGUUGUUCACAAGAAUUGCUUCCAAAGACACGUUAUGUAGCAGACAUAAUAUGUUACUAGGUUGAUAGGUUGGCUUAUCACAAGCAGACAGUACAAAAUGUGUCAUCUGAUAUAAAAGAAUGUUUUGCAUUCUUUCGCAACAAUGAAAAGACACAAAGCUUUCACCCUCGAUGCUCAAGAACAUCUGAUGGUUCUGAACGGCAUUACCACACAAGUAUCAAACUGAGAAAACCUGUUUUUAAAAACCACUGAUCUGCUGAAGACAUAGUGCCUGCUUGCAGCAUCCCUGCGUCUUCUGUGUGGGUAGCGGGUGAUGGUAGCCACGGGCAGGCAGUUGUCGGAAGCCAAAGCCGUUAAGCGGGCAGCACAACUAUGCAGCAGCAGCAGCAUUUGCAGCUUCAAAUACAUGCGUUAGACGACGCCAGACCUGCUGCUGCUAACGGCAUAUCGUGUGGCGACGCAGCUGGUGGUGGCGGGAAGCAAGUUUGAGUGAGUAGAAAUAGAACGAGCGCACGCUUGUUUGUGUGUGGGUGUGGAGAGUGAGAGAAAGUCUUAAUGUGCCCACUUCAGGGGAGCAAACAAAAACGAGGGUGAAAGCGGCAAAAUAGUUGAAGUUACUGAUAAAAUGUUUGUGAAAAGGAGAGAGCAAACAAACUGUUAUACUGCCUGCAGUAGUAUAUCACAGCAUUGUAGAAGUAAGAGCUAGCUGUGAAAAAAUACUAGCUUUGCUGUUAUGUGCUUUGAAACCGACAGCAACAACGUGAGUAGUCUGCUGACUAUUAUCUAUUAUCUAGCUGAGCCGUUGAUUGCCUCACAGACUUUUUUUAUUAAUUUAUUUAAACUGUUAAAUGGUCGGUGUGUAGACAAUUGAAGCA